CAAGCAAUAGCCGUCAUUUCAACGUCUCGUUUCAGUAUAGACCCGAUAUAGCCGGGCUGUGUCUAGCCCAUAUCUAGCCCAAAUAAACUUUAAUUUGGUUACAUGUGGUUUUUGACAAAAUACUUUGUGAGAUGUAUGCUAUUUCAUCAUGUAAGCAAAGUUAACAGCGAUUACAAGGUAUUUCGUUUCAUUUCUUUAAAGUGUUUUAUGCAUCGUCUGUACGUAGUCACAAUUUAGCUCAUAAAUAGACCGACUACGAAUAAACCACGUUUAGCCUAGAAAUAACCAUGAAUUUAAUUAAAUGUUGUUUUUCCAAAAUGAUUUGUGAGAUGUAUGAUAUUUAAUCAUAUAAACAAAGUUCAAAGAUAUUACGGUAUUUUGUUUCAUUUCUUUAAAGUGUUUUAUGCACCGUCUGUACUUAGCCACUAUUUAGCUUACAAAUAGACCGACUACGAAUAACCCACGUUUAGCCCAGAAAUAACCAUUAAUUUAAUUACAUGUGGUUUUUGCCAAAUAACUUGUGAGAUGUAUGGUAUUUCAUUGUGUAAGCAAAGUUAACAUCGAUUACAAGGUUUGUUUAAUUUCUUUAAAGUGUUUUAUGCACCGUCGUACAUAGCCACUAUUUAGCUCAUAAAUAGACCGACUACGAACAAACCAUGUUUAGCCCAGAAUAACCUUGAAUUUAAUAAAAUUUUGUUUUUGCCAAAAUAACUUGCAAGAUGUAUGAUAUUUCAUCAGGCAUGCAAAGACACCAGUGAAUUCCAGAUGUUUGGUUUUAUUUAUCUUAUCUGAAUCUGCUGUCACGCAUAACAUUCAUUAUUGAUAAACAAAAUCCAGUUACAACUCCGAACCGCUAGAUGGCAGCUGCAGUACACAAACACGAGGCCAAAUCUCGCGAGAAAGAUUUCCGCUGUUUGAAAAUCAACAACACACCAGCGAGCAGCCAGAAGGAAAGCAAUCUUCCACACUCGUUUGGUCUUGUGUCAAAGCUGUGCGAAACUGGAGGGAGAAACUUGAGAGACCGUGCCGGAAGAAUGCUGGACAGGUAAAUUCUAUAAACAUGCAAUAUUAAUCAGACAUUGUGGUGUCAACACAGUCUUUCAUGUGGUCACAAAAAAUCAAAAAAAUAUGUCAGUCUGCAACUGUUAACAACAUUAUCUUUUGUAUUUUAGAGUUCACUAACAUUCAUUAAAGUUCAAGAUGAAUGGUGGUGGUCCACUGCAGAAGCAAGCAUUUGAAAAAACAUCAGUUCUCAGUUAUUAAAGAUGCUGUGUUGAACAACUUCCCAGCAGCAACAAAACUGGAAGUGAAGGAUGCAAUGGGGGCAUUUCAAACAGGCACCAGGGAGGACGUGGUGUAUAGAAAUUAGUACAAUUAAGUUGAAGUGAACUGAAGAUAGUUUGUUAAUGUUUAGAUGUUAUUUCAUUUUUAAAAUUGUAUUUUGUUAUUUAUGCUGUUAUUUUGUUACUGUUUUUAUUCUUUUUGUUAAAAGUAGUUUUUCUUCAUUUUGUCUUUUCUGAAUUUCUAUUGUAUUAAUACUAUUUUUUGUAAUAAAUUGCAUGAUUACAUGUUUAUGAGAACCUUUUUUAAUGGAUUAAAAAUAAUUCUUUAGCCAUUCUUUUGUUGUUUAUUAGACACACACGUGUAGUCAUUUAAUAGCCGUCUAUUUAACGGCUAGUCUAUUCUUGGGCUAAGAUAGACGUCUACUAGAUUUUCACUGACAGCCCAAAGUUAGCCUUUUAUUAGCCUAGACCCACAUUCACCGUCUAUUAGACGUAUAUAUGUAGACGUUUAGUAGCCGUCUAUUUGAUGACUAGUCUAUUCUUGGGCUAUGAUAGACGUCUACUAGAUUUUCACUGACAGCCCAA